CACGUAGGGCGCAAGCGUUGUCCGGAAUUACUGGGCGUAAAGAGCUCGUAGGCGGUUUGUCGCGUCUGCUGUGAAAACCCGAGGCUCAACCUCGGGCCUGCAGUGGGUACGGGCAGACUAGAGUGCGGUAGGGGAGAUUGGAAUUCCUGGUGUAGCGGUGGAAUGCGCAGAUAUCAGGAGGAACGCCACGAUGGCGAAGGCAGAUCUCUGGGCCGUAACUGACGCUGAGGAGCGAAAGCAUGGGGAGCGAACAGG
rnacentral:rRNA from 1 species